rnacentral:rRNA from 1 species
GACGAACGCUGGCGGCGUGCUUAACACAUGCAAGUCGAACGGAAAGGCCUGCAGCUUGCUGCGGGUACUCGAGUGGCGAACGGGUGAGUAACACGUGGGUGAUCUGCCUUGCACUUCGGGAUAAGCUUGGGAAACUGGGUCUAAUACCGGAUAGGACAGCUGUUUAGUGUCAGUUGUGGAAAGUUUUUUCGGUGCAAGAUGAGCUCGCGGCCUAUCAGCUUGUUGGUGGGGUAAUGGCCUACCAAGGCGUCGACGGGUAGCCGGCCUGAGAGGGUGUACGGCCACAUUGGGACUGAGAUACGGCCCAGACUCCUACGGGAGGCAGCAGUGGGGAAUAUUGCACAAUGGGCGGAAGCCUGAUGCAGCGACGCCGCGUGGGGGAUGAAGGCCUUCGGGUUGUAAACUCCUUUCGACAGGGACGAAGCGUAAGUGACGGUACCUGUAUAAGAAGCACCGGCUAACUACGUGCCAGCAGCCGCGGUAAUACGUAGGGUGCGAGCGUUGUCCGGAAUUACUGGGCGUAAAGAGCUCGUAGGUGGUUUGUCGCGUCGUCUGUGAAAUUCCGGGGCUUAACUCCGGGCGUGCAGGCGAUACGGGCUGACUUGAGUGCUGUAGGGGAGACUGGAAUUCCUGGUGUAGCGGUGAAAUGCGCAGAUAUCAGGAGGAACACCGAUGGCGAAGGCAGGUCUCUGGGCAGUAACUGACGCUGAGGAGCGAAAGCAUGGGUAGCGAACAGGAUUAGAUACCCUGGUAGUCCAUGCCGUAAACGGUGGGCGCUAGGUGUAGGGGGCUUCCACGUCUUCUGUGCCGUAGCUAACGCAUUAAGCGCCCCGCCUGGGGAGUACGGCCGCCAGGCUA